AUUGAACGCUGGCGGAAUGCUUUACACAUGCAAGUCGAGCGGCAGCGCGGGGCAACCUGGCGGCGAGCGGCGAACGGGUGAGGUAACACAUCGGAACGUGCCCAGACGUGGGGGAUAGCCCGGCGAAAGCCGGAUUAAUACCGCAUGUGAUCUGAGGAUGAAAGUGGGGGACCGCAAGGCCUCGCGCGUUUGGAGCGGCCGAUGGCAGAUUAGGUAGUUGGUGGGGUAAAGGCUUACCAAGCCUGCGAUCUGUAGCUGGUCUGAGAGGAUGAUCAGCCACACUGGGACUGAGACACGGCCCAGACUCCUACGGGAGGCAGCAGUGGGGAAUUUUGGACAAUGGGCGCAAGCCUGAUCCAGCCAUUCCGCGUGCAGGACGAAGGCCUUCGGGUUGUAAACUGCUUUUGUACGGAACGAAAAGCCCUUCUCUAAUAAAGGGGGGUCAUGACGGUACCGUAAGAAUAAGCACCGGCUAACUACGUG
rnacentral:rRNA from 1 species